GGUAUCGUGGGUGGGUGCUUGUCACUCUUCCUUCCUGAGACUUUGAAUCACGAGCUUCCGCAGUCACUGAGUGACGGAGAAGAGUUCGGAAGAGGACAAGGCAUCUGGGACUUCCCAUGCUGUGCCAAGCGGGUCGAUGAUGAU
rnacentral:tRNA from 1 species